GAUCAUGGCUCAGGAUGAACGCUAGCGACAGGCUUAACACAUGCAAGUCUAGGGGCAGCAUGAGGUAGCAAUACCUUGAUGGCGACCGGCGCACGGGUGAGUAACGCGUAUGCAACCUGCCCGAUACCGGGGUAUAGCCCAUGGAAACGUGGAUUAACACCCCAUAGUACUUUUAUCCUGCAUGGGAUGUGAGUUAAAUGUUCAAGGUAUCGGAUGGGCAUGCGUCCUAUUAG
rnacentral:rRNA from 1 species